UUUCGAAUCAUUCACAAUGGGCGAAAGCCUGAUGGUGCGACGCCGCGUGGGGGACGAAGGUCUUCGGAUUGUAAACCCCUGUCACCGGGGACAAAAAGCGAUCGGCCAAUACCCGAUUGCCUGAUUUAACCCGGAGAGGAAGCAGUGGCUAACUCUGUGCCAGCAGCCGCGGUAAUACAGAGACUGCAAGCGUUGUUCGGAUUUACUGGGCGUAAAGGGUGCGCAGGCGGCCGAAUGUGUCGGGUGUGAA
rnacentral:rRNA from 1 species